GACCGGUCGCCGUUUGUGAGAAAUCUGGCGGCUCUUUACGUUCGGGAGCCGGCCCGUCAUUUAGUGGCCGCGUUUGCUCGCGUGUCUUUGACGAGUUUGGCGCACGAGACGCAUCCAAAUUGUCGACCACGCAGGCUCAUUCUUGAAUGAACCACUGGUGUCGAGGGCCGUCGGCCGUCCAGCUGAGUGUGAGCAGCUGAGCCGCGGACCUACGAGUGCGGACUGAGAUUGAGCCAGCCGCUGCCACUGUUUUUGUUCCACCGUCGUGCCCAAACAUAUCUGAAAACCGUCCGUCUGUUUGUCUCUCCGACCGACUGUCUGUUGGUACAUCACUGCCUGCUUGCUGCUCCUUGAAUACCAUUUGUUUCAUGAC